rnacentral:lncRNA from 1 species
AGAUGGAGACACCCAGGAGAAAGAAGAGGGCGAAUUGGAAGAGGCCACCCAGAAAGGACGGUGUGUGACACUAGGGAGCCAAGCAUGGAGAGCCGAGGACUAACGCUUGGAAGGAAAUGUGGACCAGAAGGUUCCGGAUGAGGGAAGGACUGGCGGCUACACUCUGCCUUCCGAGACAACGAGGAAUAAUCUCACUUCAGUCAGUUCAACCCUUGUAAAACAGCUACUGUGUGCAAGACACGGAGGGAAAGCUGAAGUAGAGAAACCACAGACGCUGUCUUCAAAGGGUUUAAUCUAAUAUUAGUGAUGAGAAAAAUAGGGUGCAGAGCUUAAGGCAUCCUGGAAAAACAUAUCUUUGAGAAGCCUGGACAUCAAUCUGCUUUAGAAGACUAGAAACUCUGCCUUUAUGUCUUUAAGGGAACAAUAGUCCUUAACUUUGAUACUGUGGCUCUUUAGCUCUUUUUUUCCCUAUAUUUUUUAUAUAGUUUUUUGGUAUUAUUUAGACCUCCUUAACCCCACGGUCAUAAAGGUAUUCUCCCAUCAUUUUUUUCUAUCCAUUAGCUUCAUAGUUUUACUUUUUUACAUUCAGUUAUCUAAUCCAUCUGGAGUUCUCCUUCCCAUAUGGUGUGAGAUAGGGAUCUAACUAUAUUUUUCUCCAUGGGGUGAGCAAAUUUUCCAACAACCCAUGUCAAACAAUCCAUUCUUUCCAAAUUGGUUUGGGGAAGUUUCCAAAUAGACAUGAGUAUGUUCUGAGCUCUCUGGUUUGUUCAUGUGUCAGUACCACAAGGUUUUGUCACUGUGGGUUUUUAGUUAGUCAUCAUGCUUGAAGGGCAAGUUCCCCAUUCCAAAUUCUUCUGUGUUAAGAUUGCUUUGUCUAUCCACGGGCCUUUAUCCUCCCUUAUAAUGUUUAGAGUAAGUUUGUCAAGUUUAUGAGAACUGUGUUGGGUUGAUGAAUAAAUGCAAGGAAAACUGGCAACUGUGCAGUGACAUCUCAUUCAUGACCUGACACUGUAUAUCUGGUGGACAAAAAGAGGGAAAUGUGGCUGAGUCAUAAUGUGCAUGGAGGUUGCUGGAGAGGUGGCAGAUGAACUGGAGAGGCAGGCUGAACCACACUGUAAGCCAAGCUAAUAGAAAUGAGCUUGAAAUGGGACAGGCAACCCAGCUCAGGCUGCUUUGUGUGUUCACAGGAAACCUGAUUACACAUUGGGACCAUCGGUUUGUAGGAUUGCCAUGAUCCAGAGAAACUCCAUAACAUUUCUGAAAGUAUAUAACAAAAAUAAAGACCUAGAGGGCCCUGGUCACCCAUACGUUGCACUGAUGUCAAGUGCAGGGCUGUGUGUCUUCCCAUGUCCAAGGGAUCUCCUAAAAGAGCUUUCAUAAGUAGGUGCCCUGCAUAGGUGACAGCAGUUCAAUCCAGUAAACAAUUUUUUAAGGAACGUACUGCAUGGUAGGCACAAGGCUGCCCACAGGAAGCACCAAGGUGACUAUGGCAGAGUCACUGCCCUUUGCAUUCACAAUCUGUAUUAGGGGAAAGACAGAAGGGAACAUCUACAGUUAAUUCUAAUGCAAUAAGAUGGUAUCAUUUAGUAUAUGCCAUUUUAACAGAAAGCACAAUGGGAGCUCAGAGAAUCUAGAUACUGGUAUCUGAGACCUUACUUAUAGGAGGACAAAAAGACCCAAAUAUGACUGAGCAAUCAAAGAACCACAAGGAGGUAGAAAGGCGCGUGACAUGUUCAGCUCAUAGGAAAGAGAUGCAGGGGGCAUCAACACAGAUGGAUGAAUGGAUGAAAGGAUGGGUGGUCGGACAUAUCAAUUUAUGCUGAUGAAACAAAAUGUUUGAUUUCCAAUUUUCUGGAUUACAGAAGACUAGUCACCACCCUGCUCCCCUGUGUUGUUGUAAUAACAAGAAUCACUAGGUGGCAUUAUAGUAUCAAAGUCCUCACCUUUCAGAGCCUCUAGGAGAAACACACCCAACAAGAUCGCGUCAGCCCCUAAUUUAGACAAAUGAGUGCUUCUAUUCAUCUCAUUUCUCAUUAUAUCCACUUAAUUUAUUUCUUGAGCACCUACUAUAU